rnacentral:rRNA from 1 species
UACAGAGGUCUCAAGCGUUGUUCGGAUUCAUUGGGCGUAAAGGGUGCGUAGGUGGCGCCGUAAGUGGGGUGUGAAAUUUCGGAGCUUAACUCCGAAACUGCAUUCCAUACUGCGGUGCUUGAGGACUGGAGAGGAGACUGGAAUUUACGGUGUAGCAGUGAAAUGCGUAGAGAUCGUAAGGAAGACCAGUGGCGAAGGCGGGUCUCUGGACAGUUCCUGACACUGAGGCACGAAGGCCAGGGAGCAAACGGG